rnacentral:lncRNA from 1 species
AUGGUUAAGAGAAAUGUCGAAUGUUGCAGCUACAGGAGUUGGCAAGGUAGCACGAACAGAUCUGGGACCAUCUUACUGAUAGUUGUGACGUUGCCUCGGAUGCCCAGGCUUCGCUCCAUUUGGAAAGAUGGCUUUCAGACCCGUUGGGACGUCCAUCUCAGAGAGAGACCUGUUGGGACGUCCAUCUCUGAGAGAGACCCGUUGGGACGUCCAUCUCAGAGAGAGACCCGUUGGGACGUCCAUCUCAGAGAGAGACCCGUUGGGACGUCCAUCUCAGAGAGAUCCGUGGGGACGUCCAUCUCAGAGAGAGACCCGUUGGGACGUCCAUCUCAGAGAGAUCCGUGGGGACGUCCAUCUCAGAGAGAGAUCCGUUGGGACGUCCAUCUCAGAGAGACCCGUUGGGACCUCCAUCUCAGAGAGAGACCCGUUGGGACGUCCAUCUCAGAGAGCUCCGUGGGGACGUCCAUCUCAGAGAGAGACCCGUUGGGACGUCCAUCUCAGAGAGAGACCCGUUGGGACGUCCAUCUCAGAGAGAGACCCGUGGGGACGUCCAUCUCAGAGAGAGACCCGUGGGGACGUCCAUCUCAGAGAGAGAUCCAUUGGGACGUCCAUCUCAGAGAGAGACCCGUUGGGACGUCCAUCUCCGAGAGAGAUCCGUUGGGACUUCCAUCUCAGAGAGAGACCCGUUGGGACGUCCAUCUCAGAGAGAGACCCGUUGGGACGUCCAUCUCAGAGAGAGAUCUGUGGGGACAUCCAUCUCAGAGAGAGACCCGUUGGCACGUCCAUCUCAGAGAGAGACCCGUUGGGACGUCCAUCUCAGAGAGAGACCCGUUGGGACGUCCAUCUCAGAGAGAGACCCGUUGGGACGUCCAUCUCAGAGAGAGACCCGUUGGGACGUCCAUCUCAGAGAGAGAUCUGUGGGGACGUCCAUCUCAGAGAGAGAUCUGUAUGCCCUCUGUAGUAUCUAGAAUCUAUUGGGGUUUGAAUUACCACAUUCACCGAUAUCACUGA